ensembl:snRNA U6 U6 spliceosomal RNA
GUGCUCGCUUUGGCAGCACAUACACCAAAAUUGGAAUGACACAGAGAUUAGCUUGGCCCCUGCCCAGAGUAUAGUGACAGAUGGUAGCUACAGCUACACUUU